rnacentral:rRNA from 1 species
AUGAAGGAAGUGGUAAGAAAGGAGGUACUAAAACUCCUUGAGGUAGGUAUUAUUUAUCCCGUUGCUGAUAGUGAAUGGGUAAGCCCUGUCCAUUGUGUCCCUAAAAAGGGAGGUAUUACCGUUGUUCCUAAUGAUAAAGAUGAAUUGAUCCCAGAAAGAAUUAUUACAGAUUAUAGGAUGGUAAUUGAUUUCCGUAAGUUAAAUAAAGCUACUAAGAAAGAUCGUUACCCUUUACCUUUUAUUGAUCAAAUGCUAGAAAGGCUAUCCAAACACACACAUUUUUGCUUCCUAGAUGGUUAUUCUGGCUUCUCUCAGAUACCUGUUUCAGCGGGGGAUCAAUCUAAAACUACUUUUACUUGCCCUUUUGGUACUUUUGCUUAUAGACGUAUGCCUUUUGGUUUAUGUAAUGCACCUGCUACCUUUCAAAGAUGCAUGAUGGCUAUAUUUUCUGAUUUUUGUGAAAAGAUUUGUGAGGUAUUCAUGGAUGACUUCUCCGUCUAUGGAUCCUCUUUUGAUGAUUGUUUGAGCAACCUUGAUCGAGUUUUGCAGAGAUGUGAAGACACUAGUCUCGUCCUGAAUUGGGAAAAGUGUCACUUUAUGGUUGAUGAAGGCAUUGUCUUGGGGCACAAGAUCUCCGAGAGAGGUAUUGAAGUUGAUAAAGCAAAAGUUGAUGCUAUUGAAAAGAUGCCAUGUCCCAAGGACAUAAAAUGUAUAAGAAGUUUCCUUGGUCAUGCCGGUUUUUAUAGGAGGUUCAUUAAGGACUUCUCUAAAAUCUUUAGGCCUCUGACUAAUUUAUUGCAAAAAGAUAUUCCUUUUGUCUUUGAUGAUUAUUGUGUAGAAGCAUUUGAAACACUUAAGAAGGCUUUGAUCACUGCACCUAUUGUUCAGCCACCUGAUUGGAAUUUACCUUUUGAAAUUAUGUGCGAUUCUAGUGAUUAUGCUGUAGGUGCUGUUUUAGGGCAAAGAGUCGAUAAGAAAUUGAAUGUUAUCCAUUAUGCUAGCAAGACUCUUGAUACUGCUCAGAGAAAUUAUGCUACCACUGAAAAAGAAUUCUUAGCAGUUGUGUUUGCAUGUGAUAAGUUUAUACCUUAUAUUGUUGAUUCCAAAGUUACUAUUCACACCGAUCAUGCUGCUAUUAAAUAUCUUAUGAAAAAGAAAGAUGCUAAGCCUAGACUCAUUAGAUGGGUUCUCUUACUCCAAGAAUUUUAUUUGCAUAUUAUUGAUAGAAAGGAAGCUGAGAACCCCGUUGCAGACAACUUGUCUAGGCUAGAGAAUGUUCUUGAUGACCCACUGCCUAUUAAUGAUAGCUUUCCUGAUGAACAAUUAGCGGUUGUCAAUGCUUCUCGUACUGCUCCUUGGUAUGCUGACUAUGCCAAUUACAUUGUUGCUAAAUAUAUACCGCCUAGUAUCACAUACCAGCAAAAGAAAAUGUUCUUUUAUGAUUUAAGACAUUACUUCUGGGAUGAUCCACACCUUUAUAAAGAAGGAGUAGAUGGUAUUAUUAGACGUUGUGUGCCUGAGCAUGAACAGGAACAAAUUCUACGCAAGUGUCACUCUGAAUCCUAUGGAGGACACCACGCUGGAGAUAGAACUGCACACAAGGUACUACACUCUGGUUUUUAUUGGCCUACUCUUUUCAAAGAUGCUCGUAAGUUUGUCGUAUCUUGUGAUGAAUGUCAAAGAAUAGGUAACAUUAGUAGACGUCAAGAAAUGCCUAUGACUUAUUCUCUUGUUAUUGAACCGUUUGAUGUUUGGGGCUUUGAUUAUAUGGGACCUUUUCCUGCCUUUAAUGGUUAUACACAUAUUUUAGUUGCUGUUGAUUACGUUACUAAGUGGGUAGAAGCUAUUCCAACUAGUAGUGCUGAUCAUAACACUUCUAUUAAAAUGCUCAAAGAAGUUAUUUUUCCGAGGUUUGGAGUCCCUAGAUAUCUUAUGACUGAUGGUGGUUCACACUUUAUUCAUGGUGCUUUCCGUAAGAUGCUUGCUAAGUAUGAUGUCAAUCAUAGAAUCGCAUCUCCUUAUCACCCGCAGUCUAGUGGUCAAGUAGAGUUGAGCAAUACAGAGCUCAAGUUAAUUUUGCAAAAGACUGUGAAUAGAUCUAGAAAGAAUUGGUCCAAAAAACUUGAUGAUGCAUUAUGGGCCUAUAGAACUGCAUACAAAAAUCCUAUGGGCAUGUCUCCAUAUAAGAUGGUUUAUGGAAAAGCAUGUCAUUUACCUCUUGAACUUGAACAUAAAGCAUAUUGGGCUGUUAAAGAGCUCAAUUAUGACUUCAAACUUGCCGGUGAGAAAAGGUUAUUUGAUAUUAGCUCACUUGAUGAAUGGAGAACCCAAGCAUAUGAGAAUGCCAAGAUUUUCAAAGAAAAGUCAAACACUGGCAUGAUAAGAGGAUACAGAAGCGUGAGUUUAACGUAG